AUUGAACGCUGGCGGCAGGCCUAACACAUGCAAGUCGAGCGGCAGCGGGAAAGUAGCUUGCUACUUUUGCCGGCGAGCGGCGGACGGGUGAGUAAUGCCUGGGGAUCUGCCCAGUCGAGGGGGAUAACUACUGGAAACGGUAGCUAAUACCGCAUACGCCCUACGGGGGAAAGCAGGGGACCUUCGGGCCUUGCGCGAUUGGAUGAACCCAGGGGGGAUUAGUUAGUUGGUGAGGUAACGGCGCACCAAGGCGACGAUCCCUAGCUGGUCUGAGAGGAGGAUCAGCCACACUGGAACUGAGACACGGUCCAGACUCCUACGGGAGGCAGCAGUGGGGAAUAUUGCACAAUGGGGGAAACCCUGAUGCAGCCAUGCCGCGUGUGUGAAGAAGGCCUUCGGGUUGUAAAGCACUUUCAGCGAGGAGGAAAGGUCAGUAGCUAAUAUCUGCUGGCUGUGACGUUACUCGCAGAAGAAGCACCGGCUAACUCCGUGCCAGCAGCCGCGGUAA
rnacentral:rRNA from 1 species